rnacentral:rRNA from 1 species
UACGGAGGGUGCAAGCGUUAUUCGGAAUUACUGGGCGUAAAGCGCACGUAGGCCACUUUGUAAGUCAGGGGUGAAAUCCCACGGCUCAACCGUGGAACUGCCCUUGAAACUGCGAAGCUUGAAUCCUGGAGAGGGUGGCGGAAUUCCUGGUGUAGGAGUGAAAUCCGUAGAUAUCAGGAGGAACACCGGUGGCGAAGGCGGCCACCUGGACAGGUAUUGACGCUGAGGUGCGAAAGUGUGGGGAGCAAACAGG